rnacentral:rRNA from 1 species
UGCUUAGAGUUUGAUCCUGGCUCAGGAUGAACGCUAGCGGCAGGCCUAACACAUGCAAGUCGAGGGGUAGGGUAGCAAUACCUGAGACCGGCGCACGGGUGCGUAACGCGUAUGCAAUCUACCUUGUACAGGGGAAUAGCCCAGAGAAAUUUGGAUUAAUGCCCCAUGGUGUUAUUGAGUGGCAUCGCUUAAUGACUAAAGCUUUUGUGGUACAAGAUGAGCAUGCGUCCCAUUAGUUAGUUGGUAAGGUAACGGCUUACCAAGACGAUGAUGGGUAGGGGUCCUGAGAGGGAGAUCCCCCACACUGGUACUGAGACACGGACCAGACUCCUACGGGAGGCAGCAGUGAGGAAUAUUGGGCAAUGGUCGGAAGACUGACCCAGCCAUGCCGCGUGCAGGAAGACGGUCCUAUGGAUUGUAAACUGCUUUUAUACGGGAAGAAACGGUGGUUCGUGAACCAUUUUGACGGUACCGUAUGAAUAAGCAUCGGCUAACUCCGUGCCAGCAGCCGCGGUAAUACGGAGGAUGCGAGCGUUAUCCGGAAUCAUUGGGUUUAAAGGGUCUGUAGGCGGCUUUAUAAGUCAGUGGUGAAAUCUUCCGGCUCAACCGGGAAACUGCCGUUGAUACUGUAAGGCUUGAAUUAUUGUGAAGUAGCUAGAAUAUGUAGUGUAGCGGUGAAAUGCUUAGAUAUUACAUGGAAUACCAAUUGCGAAGGCAGGUUACUAACAAUGGAUUGACGCUGAUGGACGAAAGCGUGGGUAGCAAACAGGAUUAGAUACCCUGGUAGUCCACGCCGUAAACGAUGUCAACUAGCCGCCGGCCUCACUCUAGAGGUCGGUGGUGCAGCUAACGCAUUAAGUUGACCGCCUGGGGAGUACGGCCGCAAGGUUGAAACUCAAAGGAAUUGACGGGGGCCCGCACAAGCGGUGGAGCAUGUGGUUUAAUUCGAUGCAACGCGAAGAACCUUACCUGGUCUUGACAUGUAGUGAACUUAGCAGAAAUGUUUUGGUGCCUUCGGGAACACUAACACAGGUGCUGCACGGCUGUCGUCAGCUCGUGUCGUGAGAUGUUGGGUUAAGUCCCGCAACGAGCGCAACCCCUGUCCCUAGUUGCCAGCACAUAAUGGUGGAACUCUAGGGAGACUGCCGGUGACAAACCGGAGGAAGGUGGGGAUGACGGCAAGUCAUCAUGGCCCUUAUGACCAGGGCUACACACGUGCUACAAUGGGCAGUACAGAGGGAAGCAAAAUCGCGAGAUCAAGCAAAUCCCAGAAAGCUGUCCGUAGUCCGGAUCGGAGUCUGCGACUCGACUCCGUGAAGUCGGAAUCGCUAGUAAUCGCGAAUCAGCAUGUCGCGGUGAAUACGUUCCCGGGCCUUGUACACACCGCCCGUCACACCAUGGGAGUUUGUUGCACCAGAAGCAGGUAGUCUAACCGAAAGGAGGGCGCUUGCCACGGUGUGGCCGAUGACUGGGGUGAAGUCGUAACAAGGUAACCAAGCC